CUUUGUUCUUUCAACUUUGCCACUGAACUGUGCUCACUGAUAAGAAAAGAAACUCCAGAUAACACCAGGGCAGCCUUCGAGACUGGUUUGAGCAGAACCCUUUUGCUCAAGAUGCGGGCUCAGAUGGAAAUGGGGAAGACGCCCAGAACAAGGAUAAAAGAGAGGCAGAAGUAAGGUCACUUACACAGCUGUUCCUGGGGAGGGAUUGUCUGCAUUUCAGGACCCAGGGUGUGGCUUCCGAGAGCCUCAAGGCACUGGGUGACCAGGGAGGAUGGAGAAGGUGACACUGCUGCCAGCCACAAGCAAAUAAAGCAACCUGGUGGGCUCUCUCUCUCUUCUGCAUCA